UACGAAGGGGGCUAGCGUUGUUCGGAUUUACUGGGCGUAAAGCGCACGUAGGCGGAUUGUUAAGUGAGAGGUGAAAUCCCGGAGCUCAACUCCGGAACUGCCUUUCAUACUGGCAAUCUAGAGUCCGGAAGAGGUGAGUGGAACUCCUAGUGUAGAGGUGGAAAUUCGUAGAUAUUAGGAAGAACACCAGUGGCGAAGGCGGCUCACUGGUCCGGUACUGACGCUGAGGUGCGAAAGCGUGGGAGCAAACAGGG
rnacentral:rRNA from 1 species